AUGGCUUCCUUCUCCGAGGCUCCCCCCGGCAACCCCGACGCGGGCGCCAAGAUCUUCAAGACCAAGUGCGCCCAGUGCCACACCGUCGACGCCGGCGCCGGCCACAAGCAAGGUCCAAACUUGCAUGGUCUGUUUGGGAGGCAGUCGGGUACCACCGCUGGUUACUCCUACUCUGCGGCAAACAAGAACAAGGCUGUGGAGUGGGAGGAGAACACUCUGUAUGACUACUUGCUUAAUCCUAAGAAGUACAUUCCUGGAACCAAGAUGGUCUUCCCUGGGCUGAAGAAGCCGCAGGACCGUGCUGAUCUCAUUGCGUACCUGAAGAAAGCCACCUCCUCUUGA
rnacentral:rRNA from 1 species